GAUUAAAAACUGCAUAUAUUUAAUGUGUAUGAUUUGAUGAAUUUCUUAGUAGCUACAUAAUAUUCUGAUAUGGUUGCACCAUUACCUAUUUUCUCAAUCCCUAUUUUAAGAUACUUGAGUUGUUUCCAGGUUUUUGCUAUUACAAACAACAUCGUGAUUAACUUCUCUGUAUAUAGAACUGUUUUUGAAUUUUGGAUUAUUUCAUUAAAACAGGUUAGAGUUAUUCAUUGAUCCUCAUUGUAACAGUUAGGAAACCAGAUGCUCCUAUGUUCCCAAGGACAGCCUUUCCCAGGGAAGUCAGGUGGAUGUUCGUGGAUAUUAUGUGAAAGAGGGGGUUACUGAGUCACUAACAUUUACAAGAAAUAUUGCAUGUCUCUCUUUUCCUUAAAUUUAAUUCUGUUACCAAGACCCCACAUUACUAUCUGGCUUGUUGGUGGGUUCCCCCCAACUCCCAAGUUUAUGCAGGUGUAUCCAAAUCUUAUGUUGCACCAAGAUGCUGGGAAGGCCCUUCCAGUCAUCAGAUUGCUUCUCAAACAGCUACUGUCCAGUCCUGGCAAUCCCAUCAAGUCUGAUAGCCUGGUUGUUUUCUUAUGACCCCAGAAUCUUGGGUAGGGCUGGGAGCUGGGUGUCAGAGAUCCAACCCCAUACACCAUGUCACUCCUAAACCCUGGGGAGCAGGACCGCAGUGCCCCCUCCUUGAGAGAGUCACAUUUCCUUCCCCAACCUUCCAGAUUCUGCCCUCCCAGCAAGCUGCUGGUCUGCAUCCCCUCCUCCUCUUGAGCAUCCAUCCUAAUGCCAAUCUCAGGAUUGAGUUUCCACAAAAGACAAGGAACAGCCUUUGCCUUCACGUUGACUUGGCUUUCCUUGCCCACUGCCUGGAGGUUUCCUUGAAAUCAUGUAUGUGUGAGUAUAUAUGGAAUGUAAAGAACAGAUCCAAAUUAAUACUGCAAAAAAUUAUUCUGCUGCACAGGUUACCUAGCCACUGGGUAGGAAGUAAAACAUGUGGCAUCCAUGCCAACAUUGACCUGGAGUGUCUUCAGGAGAGGGGAGAUGGUGGGACACACUCAACUAUGGACUGCUGGAGAAUAAACUUGUUUUUGAAAUUUCCUAAAUGGAUCAAGAAGGGAUUCUGUCCAAGGAAGAGGGUGCCAAGCAGUAGGAGGAGUUUCCUGUGCUUGUAGUGCCUGAUCUUCUCCACACAUCUGUGAGGUCCUGUGCCUCAAAAGACAGAUGAAUCUUGUGAGACGGACUCCUGUUCUCAAGGAAGGAAAAUGCCUGAACACAGAUCACAAGCCAACCAGAGUGAGAGACAUCUGAACCAGUCUACAUAAAACAGCUUGGGGAUGGAGACUGAUUUCUGGAUUCUUGUUAGAAAACAGGCUGUCUUCCUGCCUAUGUCCUGAGGAGAAAAGGGAAAUUAAUGUAACUGAAGAGGCUGGGGUCACCUUGGUUUUACACUCUCAAUUAAAGUCUGCUUGCUGUCAAACACA
rnacentral:lncRNA from 1 species